rnacentral:rRNA from 1 species
CCUACGGGCGGCAGCAGUGAGGAAUAUUGGUCAAUGGGCGAGAGACUGAACCAGCCAAGUCGCGUGAAGGAUGAAGGCUCUAUGGGUUGUAAACUUCUUUUAUAUGGGAAUAAAGUGAGGAACGUGUUCCUUUUUGUAUGUACCAUAUGAAUAAGCAUCGGCUAACUCCGUGCCAGCAGCCGCGGUAAUACGGAGGAUGCGAGCGUUAUCCGGAUUUAUUGGGUUUAAAGGGUGCGUAGGUGGUUAAUUAAGUCAGCGGUGAAAGUUUGUGGCUCAACCAUAAAAUUGCCGUUGAAACUGGUUGUCUUGAGUAUAUUAGAGGUAGGCGGAAUGCGUGGUGUAGCGGUGAAAUGCAUAGAUAUCACGCAGAACUCCGAUUGCGAAGGCAGCUUACUAAACUAUAACUGACACUGAAGCACGAAAGCGUGGGGAUCAAACAGGAUUAGAUACCCUUGUAGUC